UACGUAGGUGGCGAGCGUUAUCCGGAAUGAUUGGGCGUAAAGGGUGCGUAGGCGGCCUGCUAAGUCUGGAGUGAAAGGUACCGGCUCAACCGGUACAGGCUCUGGAAACUGGCGGGCUAGAGAGCAGGAGAGGGCGGUGGAACUCCAUGUGUAGCGGUAAAAUGCGUAGAUAUAUGGAGGAACACCGGUGGCGAAAGCGGCUCUCUGGCCUGUAACUGACACUGAGGCUCGAAAGCGUGGGGAGCAAACAGG
rnacentral:rRNA from 1 species